GCUCCGAGGCCGCAGAUGGCGCUGGCAGCCGACCGGCCGGUGCGGCAGGCCCCCGCAGGCCCUCGCGCUCUCAGGUCCCGCUCCGCGCCCGUCGCUUGGUGCUUGCACGGGAUUCGUUUCGCUCCCGUGCGGCAGAGUGGGCCGGCUAGCUUGCGCGCCGCGUUGCAUUGGGCGCUCAGGUGUGACCUCUGGAUCGGCUCUUCGGCGUCCGCCCCGCUGGCCGCACACUCACGGACAGCCUGUGCUGAGCUCCCUCCUGGGCGGUGAGGCGAAGAGCCAGCGCCGGCGGCAGGACGUCGCGGGCGGGGACAGGAGGCGAUGAGCUGCGGCUGCUGAGGCCUUGGCACGCUGGCUCCUCUCUGCUGGCCCAGAUACGACAAUCUGGAAACCUGGCUCUUAGUGCUCUCUAAAAAAUAGCUCAUAGUAGGCACUCCAGCUUUUGCCCACUUGACAGAAACUCAAGGAAGGAAUCUCCAGACCCUGAUCAAAUACCACUGGUCUCAAGACAUUGAUCUAAGACACCCAGGAUUCCUUUGCCUGAUGUCUCAGAACACUUUCCUGAUUACAGACUGAGAGCAAAAUUGCAAAUGAAAAGAAAAACAACCUUCUUAGACAUUUAUUUAAGGAAUCAAGAGUUUUCUAAAACUGUAACGUGUACUGUCAUUCUACUCACCAUACCACCUGAACACAGCUUUGCAUUUCAAACUGGAUUACUCUCUUAAAAUAUUGGAUUAUUAAAAACAACAACAGUGAACUCUACCGAGUAUUUUUGCAUUUGCUUAUUGCAGUAUUAAUUAAAACAAUUUAUAAUUUUUAACACAUUUAACAGUUCAACAAAUGCAUGAUUCUUUUAAUCUGCCUGAAGUUGUAAGAGGACACUUCACUGGAGAAAAUGUAUGAAAGUGCAGCAUUAAUUUCUGAAAUUCCUCAUCUGACUUCUGCUUUUAGUCCAUCACUACUCCGCAUGCUCCUGCUCUUGUCCUGGAAUGAGCCACCGGAUGCUCUCAGUUCGAAUGGUAGCAUACAUAA